GAUGAACGCUGGCGGCGUGCCUAAUACAUGCAAGUCGAGCGAACGGACGAGAAGCUUGCUUCUCUGAUGUUAGCGGCGGACGGGUGAGUAACACGUGGAUAAGCUACCUAUAAGACUGGGAUAACUUCGGGAAACCGGAGCUAAUACCGGAUGAUAUUUUGAACCGCAUGGUUCAAAAGUGAAAGACGGUCUUGCUGUCACUUAUAGAUGGAUCCGCGCUGCAUUAGCUAGUUGGUAAGGUAACGGCUUACCAAGGAAACGAUGCAUAGCCGACCUGAGAGGAUGAUCAGCCACACUGGAACUGAGACACGGUCCAGACUCCUACGGGAGGCAGCAGUAGGGAAUCUUCCGCAAUGGGCGAAAGCCUGACGGAGCAACGCCGCGUGAGUGAUGAAGGUCUUCGGAUCGUAAAACUCUGUUAUUAGGGAAGAACAUAUGUGUAAGUAACUGUGCACAUCUUGACGGUACCUAAUCAGAAAGCCACGGCUAACUUCGUG
rnacentral:rRNA from 1 species